CAUGCAAGUCGAACGAGAAUCUACUGAAAGAGUUUUCGGACAAUGGAUGUAGAGGAAAGUGGCGGACGGGUGAGUAACGCGUGAGGAACCUGCCUUGAAGAGGGGGACAACAGUUGGAAACGACUGCUAAUACCGCAUGACGCAUAGAGGUCGCAUGAUCUUUAUGCCAAAGAUUUAUCGCUUCAAGAUGGCCUCGCGUCUGAUUAGCUAGUUGGCGGGGUAACGGCCCACCAAGGCGACGAUCAGUAGCCGGACUGAGAGGUUGAACGGCCACAUUGGGACUGAGAUACGGCCCAGACUCCUACGGGAGGCAGCAGUGGGGAAUAUUGGGCAAUGGGCGCAAGCCUGACCCAGCAACGCCGCGUGAAGGAAGAAGGCUUUCGGGUUGUAAACUUCUUUUAAGAGGGAAGAGCAGAAGACGGUACCUCUAGAAUAAGCCACGGCUAACUACGUGCCAGCAGCCGCGGUAAUACGUAGGUGGCAAGCGUUGUCCGGAUUUACUGGGUGUAAAGGGCGUGCAGCCGGGUCUGCAAGUCAGAUGUGAAAUCCAUGGGCUCAACCCAUGAACUGCAUUUGAAACUGUAGAUCUUGAGUGUCGGAGGGGCAAUCGGAAUUCCUAGUGUAGCGGUGAAAUGCGUAGAUAUUAGGAGGAACACCAGUGGCGAAGGCGGAUUGCUGGACGAUAACUGACGGUGAGGCGCGAAAGUGUGGGGAGCAAACAGGAUUAGAUACCCUGGUAGUCCACACUGUAAACGAUGAAUACUAGGUGUGCGGGGACUGACCCCCUGCGUGCCGCAGUAAACACAAUAAGUAUUCCACCUGGGGAGUACGAUCGCAAGGUUGAAACUCAAAGGAAUUGACGGGGGCCCGCACAAGCGGUGGAUUAUGUGGUUUAACUCG
rnacentral:rRNA from 1 species